rnacentral:rRNA from 1 species
GACGAACGCUGGCGGCGUGCUUAACACAUGCAAGUCGAACGGAAAGGCCCUGCUUUUGUGGGGUGCUCGAGUGGCGAACGGGUGAGUAACACGUGAGUAACCUGCCCUUGACUUUGGGAUAACUUCAGGAAACUGGGGCUAAUACCGGAUAGGAGCUCCUGCUGCAUGGUGGGGGUUGGAAAGUUUCGGCGGUUGGGGAUUGACUCGCGGCUUAUCAGCUUGUUGGUGGGGUAGUGGCUUACCAAGGCUUUGACGGGUAGCCGGCCUGAGAGGGUGACCGGCCACAUUGGGACUGAGAUACGGCCCAGAAUCCAACGGGAGGCAGCAGUGGGGAAUAUUGCACAAUGGGCGGAAGCCUGAUGCAGCAACGCCGCGUGCGGGAUGACGGCCUUCGGGUUGUAAACCGCUUUCGCCUGUGACGAAGCGUGAGUGACGGUAAUGGGUAAAGAAGCACCGGCUAACUACGUG